rnacentral:rRNA from 1 species
GUGUCAGCCGCCGCGGUAAUACGUAGGUGGCAAGCGUUGUCCGGAAUUAUUGGGCGUAAAGCGCGCGCAGGUGGUUUCUUAAGUCUGAUGUGAAAGCCCACGGCUUAACCGUGGAGGGUCAUUGGAAACUGGGAGACUUGAGUGCAGAAGAGGAAAGUGGAAUUCCAAGUGUAGCGGUGAAAUGGGUAGAGAUUUGGAGGAACACCAGUGGCGAAGGCGACUUUCUGGUCUGCAACUGACGCUGAGGCGCGAAAGCAUGGGGAGCAAACAGGAUUAGAUACCCUGGUAGUCCAUGCCGUAAACGAUGAAUACUAGGUGUAGGAGGUAUCGACUCCUUCUGUGCCGCAGUUAACACAAUAAGUAUUCCGCCUGGGGAGUACGGUCGCAAGAUUAAAACUUAAAUGAAUUGGCGG